AGUGAACGCUGGCGGUAGGCCUAACACAUGCAAGUCGAACGGCAGCACAGUAAGAGCUUGCUCUUACGGGUGGCGAGUGGCGGACGGGUGAGGAAUACAUCGGAAUCUACCUUUUCGUGGGGGAUAACGUAGGGAAACUUACGCUAAUACCGCAUACGACCUACGGGUGAAAGCAGGGGAUCUUCGGACCUUGCGCGAUUGAAUGAGCCGAUGUCGGAUUAGCUAGUUGGCGGGGUAAAGGCCCACCAAGGCGACGAUCCGUAGCUGGUCUGAGAGGAUGAUCAGCCACACUGGAACUGAGACACGGUCCAGACUCCUACGGGAGGCAGCAGUGGGGAAUAUUGGACAAUGGGCGCAAGCCUGAUCCAGCCAUACCGCGUGGGUGAAGAAGGCCUUCGGGUUGUAAAGCCCUUUUGUUGGGAAAGAAAAGCAGCAGGUUAAUACCCCGCUGUUCUGACGGUACCAAAAGAAUAAGCACCGGCUAACUUCGUG
rnacentral:rRNA from 1 species